UCUCUCACCUCCUCUAACUUCCCUAAUUUUACAUGGUUUAUAUACCUUCAUUUAACACUUACAUCAUUGUUUGCUCCUCCUUAAGUCAAGAAAUCACUUAAUAUUUAUUAGAUGUAAGCCAAUUUUGCCUAGGUUAGGUUGGUUAGGUUGAUGUAGCGCCUCCCAAUUGCAUAAUCUCCUUUUUUCCUUUUUUUUUUCAUCUCAUAUUUAUUUAAGUCUGGGCCUACGAAGUCUUAUGCUUUCCCUUUUUUGGAGAAAAUUUGGUUUGUUCCUGUUUCUUGACCAGAGCAUUGACCACCGCUGGUGACUUGAGGUUUUGUUGAAGCCGCAAUCAAUUUUUCUGAAAUUUCCUCAUCAAGAUGUUUCGCAGGCAGCACUCUUCUCGUCUAAGAUUCUGGGAGCAGGUGGCUACAUCUUCCCUUACCCAAAUCGUCACAAUUUGCGUCUGAUUCGAGCUCUGAUGGGCCUAGUCCGCCACCUGGAAAUUGUGAUUUACUUCAACAAUUUACCUGAUAUACUUCUUAUAUUUUUCUUAACAAUUUGAUAAAUCUGAUCUUGUUUAUCUGUUUUUCAAAGCAGAAGUCUGGCUUUUUUGCACUUUGUCCCAAUUAAAGCAGAACCGAAAGUUUAUUUUUAUAUUUUGGAUCACUGCCUGCACUUUCUGAAUUUUCCAUUCCAAUAAAGUUGCACAACUUCUUGCA